rnacentral:tRNA from 1 species
AUUUAUAUAAUAUAUUUAGUAUAUUUGACUUCCAAUCAAAACGUUUAAAAAUUUUUAAUAUAAAUA